UUUGCUUGUCUUGGUCGGAGUUGUAGCUGAGAAUUUCGUUUCCGACAAGGACGAACCGGAUUCUUGUUUGUGGGUAGUGAGGAAGGACGUUGGUGUUGACCCAGUUGUCUGCGGCCGCUUGGUCGGCACCGAUGGAAAUGAUUUGGUUGUUAGGGACCAUGAUUGUGACGUAGAGAUUGGUCUGAGAGAGGAGCAUUAGGGUUUCUUGAUCGGCGUUGUAAAGCUUAACGUGGCCUGCUUUAAUGGAUUUGACGAGGUUGAUUGAUUGGUAAGGAGAUGGGAGAUUGUUACCUACUCUUCUGUAAAGCUUAACGUGGCCUGCUUUAAUGGAUUUGACGAGGUUGAUUGAUUGGUAAGGAGAUGGGAGAUUGUUACCUACUCUUCCGUAGUUUAUACCAAUCGGCCUGCUUGCAAGUGAUAACAAUGUUUUGUUGUUCUGUGGACCAAUUGCGUAGCUACAUGAAC
rnacentral:lncRNA from 1 species